GGUGAGUAGAAUCCUUCCCUUCAGGCUUUUUAUAGUAAACACUGUUGUAACGGAACCACUGGCACCCCGACCGGGUACCUUCCGCCGACGGAUGCUCCUAGUGAUUUCCGAGAACUCCAAGCACUCUGCCUGACACCAUAACCACUGCAGACCCCACGAACUGCCGCAGCUUGGUUGGGGUCUCGGCGUCUCCACCCACUCUGGACCCAGGACCAGGGUCCAGCUUCCAGCAGGUCGACCUCUCU